UUUUUUCAUUAAUUUUUAUCGUCGUUAUAGUGAAUAAACACAGUAACUUCGAAUUAUUGAAAUCAAUAUCAGGUAACAUUUGAAAUGUUAUGUAUGUUUUUUUUGUUGUUUUGAAUAAUAUCCGAAGACAUUAUCCAAGACAAUAAAUAUAUCCGUGGGACGCAAAAGUUAGACUUGGAGGUUUUGAAUCCCCGCAUCCUUCUCUUGUUUUUUGCUAAAGUAUCUAAAGAUUUAUACCGAAAUAAAAACCAUUAAAUACUUUAGUAAAAAGAGGUGUGGUAAUGAUCCUUCCGCAGGUUCACCUACGGAAA
rnacentral:misc_RNA from 1 species